AGUUUUAGGAGUGAUGACAGCGAGAGAGAGAGAGAGAGAGAGAGAGAGUUUUGAUAUGAAAAUCAAGUCCUGCAGCUGAUGCAGCAGUUUAUUCUGAAGUCACAUUAGGAAGCUUUCCUGGUCAGUGAGGAGAGCUGCAGCAGCAAAGCCAAGAA